rnacentral:rRNA from 1 species
GGUUAAGUGACUAAGCGUACACGGUGGAUGCCUUGGCAGUCAGAGGCGAUGAAAGACGUAGUAACUUGCGAUAAGCCCAGAUUAGGUAGUAACAACCAUUUGAGUCUGGGAUUUCUGAAUGGGGAAACCCACGUGCAUAAGCACGUAUCCUUACCUGAAUACAUAGGGUAAGGAGGCGAACCGGGGGAACUGAAACAUCUAAGUACCCCGAGGAAAAGAAAUCAACCGAGAUUCCGAAAGUAGCGGCGAGCGAAAUUGGACUAGCCCUUAAGCUUUACACGCGUUAGACGAACGGUCUGGAAAGUCCGACGAUACAGGGUGAUAGUCCCGUAGUUGACGACGUGUGUUCAGUGAAAUCGAGUAGGGCGGGACACGUGAUAUCCUGUCUGAAUAUGGGGGGACCAUCCUCCAAGGCUAAAUACUACUGACUGACCGAUAGUGAACCAGUACCGUGAGGGAAAGGCGAAAAGAACCCCUGUGAGGGGAGUGAAAUAGAACCUGAAACCGUGUACGUACAAGCAGUAGGAGCAGGCUUUGUCCUGUGACUGCGUACCUUUUGUAUAAUGGGUCAGCGACUUAUAUUCAGUGGCAAGGUUAACCAUCUAGGGGAGCCGUAGGGAAACCGAGUCUUAACUGGGCGUUCAGUCUCUGGAUAUAGACCCGAAACCAGGUGAUCUAGCCAUGGGCAGGUUGAAGGUUGAGUAACAUCAACUGGAGGACCGAACCGACUAAUGUUGAAAAAUUAGCGGAUGACUUGUGGCUAGGGGUGAAAGGCCAAUCAAACCUGGAGAUAGCUGGUUCUCCCCGAAAGCUAUUUAGGUAGCGCCUCGGACGAAUACUACUGGGGGUAGAGCACUGUUAAGGCUAGGGGGUCAUCCCGACUUACCAACCCUUUGCAAACUCCGAAUACCAGUAAGUACUAUCCGGGAGACACACGGCGGGUGCUAACGUCCGUCGUGGAGAGGGAAACAACCCAGACCGCCAGCUAAGGUCCCAAAUUACUACUAAGUGGGAAACGAUGUGGGAAGGCUCAGACAGCCAGGAUGUUGGCUUAGAAGCAGCCAUCAUUUAAAGAAAGCGUAAUAGCUCACUGGUCGAGUCGGCCUGCGCGGAAGAUGUAACGGGGCUAAGUAGUAAACCGAAGCUGCGGCAAUGUGCUUUUGCACAUUGGGUAGGGGAGCGUUCUGUAAGCGGUUGAAGGUGUGUGGUAACGCAUGCUGGACGUAUCAGAAGUGCGAAUGCUGACAUGAGUAACGAUAAAGGGGGUGAAAAACCUCCUCGCCGGAAGACCAAGGGUUCCUGUCCAACGUUAAUCGGGGCAGGGUAAGUCGACCCCUAAGGCGAGGCCGAAAGGCGUAGUCGAUGGGAAACGGGUUAAUAUUCCCGUACUUCUUACAAUUGCGAUGGGGGGACGGAGAAGGCUAGGUGGGCCUGGCGACGGUUGUCCAGGUUCAAGUGCGUAGGCUUGAGAGUUAGGUAAAUCCGGCUCUUUUUAAGGCUGAGAGACACGACGUCGAGCACCUACGGGUGUGAAGUCAUUGAUGCCAUGCUUCCAGGAAAAGCCUCUAAGCUUCAGAUUGUAAGGAAUCGUACCCCAAACCGACACAGGUGGUCGGGUAGAGAAUACCAAGGCGCUUGAGAGAACUCGGGUGAAGGAACUAGGCAAAAUGGUACCGUAACUUCGGGAGAAGGUACGCUCUUGAUGGUGAAGUCCCUUGCGGAUGGAGCUGACGAGAGUCGCAGAUACCAGGUGGCUGCAACUGUUUAUUAAAAACACAGCACUGUGCAAAAUCGUAAGAUGACGUAUACGGUGUGACGCCUGCCCGGUGCCGGAAGGUUAAUUGAUGGGGUUAGACUUCGGUCGAAGCUCUUGAUCGAAGCCCCGGUAAACGGCGGCCGUAACUAUAACGGUCCUAAGGUAGCGAAAUUCCUUGUCGGGUAAGUUCCGACCUGCACGAAUGGCGUAAUGAUGGCCACGCUGUCUCCACCCGAGACUCAGUGAAAUUGAAAUCGCUGUGAAGAUGCAGUGUACCCGCGGCUAGACGGAAAGACCCCGUGAACCUUUACUACAGCUUGGCACUGAACAUUGACCCUACAUGUGUAGGAUAGGUGGGAGGCUUUGAAGCAGGUACGCCAGUAUCUGUGGAGCCGUCCUUGAAAUACCACCCUUGUAGUGUUGAUGUUCUAACGUCGACCCCUUAUCGGGGGUGCGGACAGUGCCUGGUGGGUAGUUUGACUGGGGCGGUCUCCUCCCAAAGAGUAACGGAGGAGCACGAAGGUGGGCUAAUCACGGUUGGACAUCGUGAGGUUAGUGCAAUGGCAUAAGCCCGCUUGACUGCGAGAAUGACAAUUCGAGCAGGUGCGAAAGCAGGUCAUAGUGAUCCGGUGGUUCUGAAUGGAAGGGCCAUCGCUCAACGGAUAAAAGGUACUCCGGGGAUAACAGGCUGAUACCGCCCAAGAGUUCAUAUCGACGGCGGUGUUUGGCACCUCGAUGUCGGCUCAUCACAUCCUGGGGCUGAAGUCGGUCCCAAGGGUAUGGCUGUUCGCCAUUUAAAGUGGUACGCGAGCUGGGUUUAGAACGUCGUGAGACAGUUCGGUCCCUAUCUGCCGUGGGCGUUGGAAGAUUGAAGGGGGCUGCUCCUAGUACGAGAGGACCGGAGUGGACGAACCUCUGGUGUUCGGGUUGUGUCGCCAGACGCAUUGCCCGGUAGCUAAGUUCGGAAUCGAUAACCGCUGAAAGCAUCUAAGCGGGAAGCGAGCCCUGAGAUGAGUCUUCCCUGAUACUUUAAGUAUCCUAAAGGGUUGUCGGAGACUACGACGUUGAUAGGUCAGGUGUGUAAGUGCUGUGAGGCAUUGAGCUAACUGAUACUAAUUGCCCGUGAGGCUUAACCAU